rnacentral:rRNA from 1 species
AAGUGGGAAGAGUCCAACGUUGAAAGCAGCACCCAUAAAAAGGUGUGGCAUUGUAACGUAUAGACUGAUCAUCGAGGUGUUUGGCUGUACUAAAGUCGUUAAGAAUGGCGCACCAUAGAGGGUUAUAGUCCCGUAGAUGGUACGGUACAGACACUGUGUAUGGUCGUGUCAUAGAGUCGGGCUGUUUGGGAAUGCAGUCUAAAGCGGGUGGUAAACUCCAUCAAAGACUAAAUAUAGCUUSGAGACCGAUAGCGAACAAGUACCGUGAGGGAAAGUUGAAAAGAACUCUGAAAAGAAAGUGAAAAGUACGUGAAACCGUCAAUGGGGAAGCGGACAAUGUAAUCGUAGCGUUUACAUGUUUGUGUGAUGUUGUAUUGCAUUGCAAUUAGCAUGAAAAUGCGCGCUAGACUGUUUGAGUGUAAACUGGCAGUGCUGGCAGCUAUGAGCAUAAUUGAUUUGAUGACACAAGUUAAUGUGUUUAUAGUGUUGGUGAUUUGCUUUAGAGUUAUCAAUCAAACAUGGAUGUGUGUGAGUAAGGUUAUUGUCUGCGUAUGCCAAUACGAUGCACUUUGUGUUUUUAAUGCCAAGUGCAUCGUAUUGAUUUGCGUAGAGAGCAGCUUUGCCGGAACUAAGGUUGCACAUAUAUUCUAGCGAGAUAUGACAUUUUCCGACCCGUCUUGAAACACGGACCAAGGAGGCUAACUUGUACGCAAGUCGAGAAGUGGAGAAACUUUAUGGCGAAACGAAAGUGAAAUGUGAGAUCUUGUGUUGAUGUGUGACAUAAGCGUAUCACAGGCCGGUUGAAGGAUUGCCUUUGAUUGAGUUGGAGCGUACAGGCUAGGACCCGAAAGGUGGUGACCUAUUCCUGAGGAGAGCGAAUUCAUUGGAAACAAUGAUGGAGGCUCGUAGCGAUUCUGACGUGCAAAUCGAUCGUCAAACUUGGGUAUAGGGGCGAAAGACUAAUCGAACCACCUAGUAGCUGGUUCCUUCCGAAAUAUCCCUCAGGAUCGCCGAAACUCAAGGCAGUUUCAUCGGGUAGAGCUAAUGAUUAGAGGACUUGUGGGUUAUUUAUAGCCUCAACCUAUUCUCAAACUGCAAACCGGUGAUUGAUGCUGACGGUUUCUUUGUUGAAUUGUCAGUGUUGUGAGCGAAUGUGUGAGUUUCGAGUGGGCCAUUUUUGGUAAGCAGAACUGGCGAUGCGGGAUGAACCGAGAGUCGAGUUAAAGUGCCUAAAUGGAGGCAGACGGAUACCACAAAAGGAGUUGAUAAAUUAUGACAGUAAGGCUGUGGUCCUGAAAGUAGACAUCAGCUAAGAAGUGUGCAACAACUUACUUACCGAAUUUAUCGGCCCUGAAAAUGGAUGGCGCUUAGCCUUCUACUGAUACUCGACCGUGGACGCGAGAAAUGUAUCGUUCACGGGUAGGAAGGUGCUAUGGUUGCGUAGAAGCUAGCUUGUGAGAGUUGGUGGAGCAGCCAUAGGUACAGAUYUUGGUUUUAGUAGCAGCGUAUAGAAGUGAGAACCUUYUAGACCGAAGUGGAGAAGGGUUCCUYGUGAACAGCAGUUGGACGAGGGUAAGUCGGUCCUAAGCAGCAGCCUACAAGCUGAAUCAUAGGAGACGUUUUGUAGUUAGUAUGCUUGCAUGCGAUGCAUYGUCUCAGUYUGCGAAAGGGAAUCAGGUUAAUAUUCCUGAACCAAGUUUYGGAUAGCUGCUAUUGCAUYUGGUAGUAUCCGAGCGAGGAUGAUUUGUCUUUGCGAGGUGCUAACGGGGCAGUAUCAGCAGAGCGGCAACGCAAACGAACUCGGAGACGUUGUUGAUAGUUCUGGGAAGAGUUAUCUUUUCUGUUUAACCGGUUGAGUGAGCCUGGAAUAGAGUCAUUCGGAGAUAGGCUUAACAGCUGGGAAGAGCGUCGCAUUUUAGUGGCGUCCGGAAUACUGUCAAUGAUCCAUGAAAAUCCGAGGGAGUGGUUAAUUUUCGAACUUGUCCGUACCGAGAUCCGCAUCAGGUCUCCUAGGUGAAUAGCCUCUGGUUCUAGAAUAAUGUGGGUAAGGGAAGUCGGCAAAAUAGAUUCGUAACUUCGGGAAAAGGAUUGGCUCUAAGGAUUGGACUGUUUGGGCCAACUGUUGUGGAGCCUCGUCCAUGUAUACGGUUGGUGAGACGGGAGGUGGUCUCUCGGUUGCUUUGCGUCACAUCAACUGUUAACGUGGUACUGUGUUCUUCAGCGGUUGGCUUGUAUCGGUGAAUGAGUGGCCGUGUGUUGCUUGUACAUUGGUGCCUGGCAGGCAGUUGAAAUCAAUCAACUUAGAACUGUCACUAACUAGGGGAAUCCGACUGUUUAAUUAAAACAAAGCAUUGCGAUGGCUGGAAACGGUGUUGACGCAAUGUGAWUUCUGCCCAGUGCUCUGAAUGUCAAAGUGUGGAGACACAACCAAGCGCGGGUAAACGGCGGGAGUAACUAUGACUCUCUUAAGAUAGCCAAAUGCCUCGUCAUCUAAUUAGUG